rnacentral:lncRNA from 1 species
GUGAUGGAUAUCAUGGAAAUUAUCCUUUUUAAUUGACAGCUGUUAUGUGGAUUUGGCCAGCCUCAGCAUUAAGCCCUGAUUACGCGCUAAAUUUAUUUCUUGCCCUCACCAACAAAUGAAACAUCGUCAGAGAUGCUGCCACACCCGCAACCACUGACAAAUCAGAGUGGGAUGGCAUGAAGCAGAAAGAGCAAGAGAGAGAGAGAGAGAGAGAGGGAGAGCCGCUUUUUAUGGUCGUAAGUUCUUGUUCUUGAAUUUCGGUUCACAGCCGACGCAGAGGCCAUUCCUCUGGGUCUGUGUUCUUUUUUUUGAGGCGAUACUAUCGCUGGCAUAAUGAAGGACCACCCUCCUCUCCUCCUGCAGAAAUCCGCAUAAAUAAAGGGAUGGUCGUGGGGGACAAUAGCCGAACAAUGGGGACACUGCCUGGCGGGCGGGGAGAUCUAAGCCAGCAGGCCUUACGUGCGCAGGAUUUAAUCGAUGGACUUAGUUUAUUGUUUUCAAAUUGAAAUUGCAAAUUCAAAGCCCC